rnacentral:rRNA from 1 species
UGGGGAAUAUUGGACAAUGGGCGAAAGCCUGAUCCAGCCAUGCCGCGUGUGUGAAGAAGGUCUUCGGAUUGUAAAGCACUUUAAGUUGGGAGGAAGGGCAGUUACCUAAUACGUAUCUGUUUUGACGUUACCGACAGAAUAAGCACCGGCUAACUCUGUGCCAGCAGCCGCGGUAAUACAGAGGGUGCAAGCGUUAAUCGGAAUUACUGGGCGUAAAGCGCGCGUAGGUGGUUUGUUAAGUUGGAUGUGAAAUCCCCGGGCUCAACCUGGGAACUGCAUUCAAAACUGACAAGCUAGAGUAUGGUAGAGGGUGGUGGAAUUUCCUGUGUAGCGGUGAAAUGCGUAGAUAUAGGAAGGAACACCAGUGGCGAAGGCGACCACCUGGACUGAUACUGACACUGAGGUGCGAAAGCGCGGGGAGCAAACAGGAUUAGAUACCCCCGUAGUCCCUGAGCGGGCUGGCAAGGCGCAU